UUGAACGCUGGCGGCAUGCCUUACACAUGCAAGUCGCACGGUAACGGGCCUUCGGGUGCCGACGAGUGGCGAACGGGUGAGUAAUACAUCGGAACGUGCCCGAUCGUGGGGGAUAACGAGGCGAAAGCUUUGCUAAUACCGCAUACGAUCUACGGAUGAAAGCAGGGGACCGCAAGGCCUUGCGCGGACGGAGCGGCCGAUGGCAGAUUAGGUAGUUGGUGGGAUAAAAGCUUACCAGGCCGACGAUCUGUAGCUGGUCUGAGAGGAUGAUCAGCCACACUGGGACUGAGACACGGCCCAGACUCCUACGGGAGGCAGCAGUGGGGAAUUUUGGACAAUGGGCGCAAGCCUGAUCCAGCCAUGCCGCGUGCAGGAUGAAGGCCUUCGGGUUGUAAACUGCUUUUGUACGGAACGAAAAGCCUUCUUUUAAUACAGGAGGGUCAUGACGGUACCGGAAGAAUAAGCACCGGCUAACUACGUG
rnacentral:rRNA from 1 species